UGGCUUAGAAGCAGCCACCAUUUAAAGAGUGCGUAAUAGCUCACUAGUCGAGUGAUCCUGCGCCGAAAAUGUAACGGGGCUAAACACAUUACCGAAAUCGUGGAUGCAACUAUGUUGCAUGGUAGGAGAGCGUUCUAAGGGCGAUGAAGCUAGACCGUAAGGACUGGUGGAGCGCUUAGAAGUGAGAAUGCCGGUAUGAGUAGCGAAAGAUCAGUGAGAAUCUGGUCCACCGUAUGACUAAGGUUUCCUGGGGAAGGCUCGUCCUCCCAGGGUUAGUCGGGACCUAAGCCGAGGCCGAGAGGCGUAGGCGAUGGAUAACAGGUUGAGAUUCCUGUACUGGUUUGAUUUGUUUGAACGAUGGAGGGACGCAGGAGGCUAGAGAUGCGUGCUGUUGGAUAUGCACGUCCAAGCAACAAGUCUGAUGAUGAGUCAAAUGCUUAUCGUCUUAAGGACAAGUUGUGACGGGGAGCGAAAUUAAAGUAGCGAAGUGAUCGAUGUCACACUGCCGAGAAAAGCUUCUAGUUAGGAUCAGACCACCCGUACCGCAAACCGACACAGGUAGUCGAGGCGAGUAGCCUAAGGUGAGCGAGAGAACUCUCGUUAAGGAACUCGGCAAAAUGACCCCGUAACUUCGGGAGAAGGGGUGCUGCACAAUGUGCAGCCGCAGUGAAUAGGCCCAGGCGACUGUUUAUCAAAAACACAGGUUUCUGCAAAAUCGUAAGAUGAAGUAUAGGGGCUGACGCCUGCCCGGUGCUGGAAGGUUAAGAGGAUGGGUUAGCGUAAGCGAAGCUCAGAAUUGAAGCCCCAGUAAACGGCGGCCGUAACUAUAACGGUCCUAAGGUAGCGAAAUUCCUUGUCGGGUAAGUUCCGACCCGCACGAAAGGCGUAACGAUCUGGGCACUGUCUCAACGAGAGACUCGGUGAAAUUAUAAUACCCGUGAAGAUGCGGGUUACCCGCGACAGGACGGAAAGACCCCAUGGAGCUUUACUGUAGCUUGAUAUUGGGUGUUUGUACAACUUGUACAGGAUAGGUAGGAGCCGUAGAAGUCGGAACGCUAGUUUCGAUCGAGGCGCUGGUGGGAUACUACCCUCGUUGUAUGAACACUCUAACCCUCGUCGCUUAUCGCGGCGGGAGACAGUGUCAGGUGGGCAGUUUGACUGGGGCGGUCGCCUCCUAAAAGGUAACGGAGGCGCCCAAAGGUUCCCUCAGAAUGGUUGGAAAUCAUUCGCAGAGUGUAAAGGCAUAAGGGAGCUUGACUGCGAGACCUACAAGUCGAGCAGGGACGAAAGUCGGGCUUAGUGAUCCGGUGGUUCCGCAUGGAAGGGCCAUCGCUCAACGGAUAAAAGCUACCCUGGGGAUAACAGGCUUAUCUCCCCCAAGAGUCCACAUCGACGGGGAGGUUUGGCACCUCGAUGUCGGCUCAUCGCAUCCUGGGGCUGUAGUCGGUCCCAAGGGUUGGGCUGUUCGCCCAUUAAAGCGGUACGCGAGCUGGGUUCAGAACGUCGUGAGACAGUUCGGUCCCUAUCCGUCGCGGGCGUAGGAAAUUUGAGAGGAUCUGUCCUUAGUACGAGAGGACCGGGAUGGACAUACCGCUGGUGUACCAGUUGUUCUGCCAAGGGCAUCGCUGGGUAGCUAUGUAUGGAUGAGAUAAACGCUGAAAGCAUCUAAGUGCGAAACUCACCUCGAGAUAAGAUUUCCCAUUCCUUUAUGGAAGUAAGACCCCUGAGAGAUGAUCAGGUAGAUAGGAUGGAAGUGGAAGUACGGUGACGUAUGGAGCGGACCAUUACUAAUCGGUCGAGGACUUAACCAA
rnacentral:rRNA from 1 species